UCUGUGCCAGCAGCCGCGGUAAUACAGAGGGUGCAAGCGUUAAUCGGAAUUACUGGGCGUAAAGCGAGCGUAGGUGGCUUGAUAAGUCAGAUGUGAAAUCCCCGGGCUUAACCUGGGAACUGCAUCUGAUACUGUUAAGCUAGAGUAGGUGAGAGGGAAGUAGAAUUUCAGGUGUAGCGGUGAAAUGCGUAGAGAUCUGAAGGAAUACCGAUGGCGAAGGCAGCUUCCUGGCAUCAUACUGACACUGAGGCUCGAAAGCGUGGGUAGCAAACAGGAUUAGAUACCCUGGUAGUCCACGCCGUAAACGAUGUCUACUAGUCGUUGGGUCCCUUGAGGACUUAGUGACGCAGCUAACGCAAUAAGUAGACCGCCUGGGGAGUACGGCCGCAAGGUUAAAACUCAAAUGAAUUGACGGGGGCCCGCACAAGCGGUGGAGCAUGUGGUUUAAUUCGAUGCAACGCGAAGAACCUUACCUGGUCUUGACAUAUCUAGAAUCCUGCAGAGAUGCGGGAGUGCCUUCGGGAAUUAGAAUACAGGUGCUGCAUGGCUGUCGUCAGCUCGUGUCGUGAGAUGUUGGGUUAAGUCCCGCAACGAGCGCAACCCUUGUCCUUAGUUACCAGCGGGUUAAGCCGGGAACUCUAAGGAUACUGCCAGUGACAAACUGGAGGAAGGCGGGGACGACGUCAAGUCAUCAUGGCCCUUACGACCAGGGCUACACACGUGCUACAAUGGUAGGUACAGAGGGCAG
rnacentral:rRNA from 1 species